rnacentral:lncRNA from 1 species
GUUGUGCAGCAAUAAAUAGCUAAUAUACAAUAUUUCCACUGAGAAGUUAACUGUUAUUUUGAACUCUGAAUCUCAUAUAGACCAGUGUUCACUUUAUCUUACUCUCUCUCUCUCCUCUCUCUCACUCUCUGUCUCUGAAAUUUCUUCAGAUUUUUUAUUUGUUUCUGGUGCUCUUACUUUUCACAAUGUUGGAACUUAUUGAUGGUUCUGUCUGUGUCUAUUGGGCUGGACAUGCUUUAGGAUCUUUUAUAACCUGUACUCAGUUUGAGUAGUUUCUUGGGUUGAUUCCGUUUUGAUUUUCUCAUUUCUUUGGAAAUUUAUAAUUUUAAAAUUUUGGACCACUGAGAACAUUUUUAAAUUGUCUUAAUCUAACUUUCCACUUCUAUUCUUUUGCCUAUUCUUCUUAGAUAAUUUUUACACUUUAUUUUCAAGCCCUUCUAUUAAUAUUUUUAUUUCUGCUGUGUUAUUUCUAAGACUUACAGAUUUUAUAAUGCUAUUUUUUAGCAUCUCUCCUAUUUUGUGGAUAUGUCAUCUUUUCUCUCUGAAUAUGAUAAUGAGGCUUUCAUUUGUUUUCUAAGUUUUUAUAUCCCUAGGUAUUUACUGUUUUGAUAAUUUUUUCUUCCCUGUUUGUUUGCUUUGCUUUUUUCUUCCAAGAUAAAGCCUGGAAGCUGCACGUCACCUGCCAGCUUUGUGUGUGCCCAGUGAGGUGGCAUAAUGACCAGCGGUGACUUGAAUGACAAGGGGACAGAACAGCUGGACAAUCCAAUUCCUAGAUGCUUUCUCCAGUUAUGGCCCUGACUGGGAUCUCCGAAGAAUGACUCAGCUGAAACUGUCAGUGAGGAUGCUUACCUGUGGUCUCCCCAUCAUGGUGGUAUCAGGGUUGUUGAACACCUUACAUGGCUCCAAAAGCAAGUGUUCUGGAAUGUAAGGCAACAGCUGUGUGGUCUUUCAUAAUCCAGCAUCAGAAGUCACAUGGCAUCACUCCUGCUAAAAUUUCUUUGUGGAAGCAGCCACAAAACUGCCCAAAUUCAAGUAGAGGGCACACAGAUCUUAUUUUUUGAUGGGAGGACUCACAAAAAUUUUGCCACCAUAUUAUAAAAACACUAUAAGAUCUAAUAGUAACUUUAACUUUUUUUAACCAAUCCUUCUAUUUUCAGCCCAGACUUCACUUCCUUAUUCAGAUGUAUAAAUGUCUUCUGUGGCUUUGUGAUCAAAUCUGAAUGUUUCUUGGAUUUACCCCUGCCAGCUAAGGAUUUGGCCUUCUUUGAUCUGUUAAAUCAGUUCUCAAACACUGACUUGUUUUCCAUCUAAAAUAUCAGGGUGACCUUUAUCCCAUUCUCAUUGCUUUGAGGAUUUUGUGCCCCCUUUUUUAAAGUCACUUUCUAUGUAUUUUUAUAUGAGUGAGGUUUUGGGAGAAAGUACAGAUAAAUAUAUAUUCUCAAUCUACCACUUUAAUUGAAAAUUCUUGUUUUUUCUUUUACAAAAUUCCUAAUGUUUGCCUAACAAACAUUUAUUGAGAAACUGCUGUAUUUUCAGUAUGUGUUAAGGUCUGUGUACAUCUAUUUUAUAUACAUUAUCUUAUUUAAUAUGCUCAUUUAAUUUCCACAUCUUGUUUAACAUUUAUAAUCUUUUGAUUUGUUAAAUACAAUUUGUAGAAGACCAUUGGUUUAGCGUGAGCUGCACCAGGCCUGGCAGACCAAACCAAAAUGUAGUAUCUCAUACUAAAGUUCCAUGCCACCAAGCUGAAACUAAGUUGUUUAUCUGACUUUCCAAGAAGUCAGGAGAAAGAGAUAACAGUCAAAUCCCCAAAUAUGCUAGUUUGAGUUGGCAUGAUAGGAAAGUUCCUUCCACUUUAGCCUUUAUACGAAAGUAACUUUGGAAUGAUCAGUCUGCUUUUUGUUUCCUGUUUCUGUUUCAGCACUUUUUGUAAAGCCAACUUCUUCUCAGCACAUCAGAACACUCAUUCUACUUUAUAGAAUGAGGUAUAAUCUGAAUCUAAAAUCACAAAUAAAAGCCAAUUAAGAUUUUUAAAGUAAGUUUGUUGUAAUUUUGUCUUUUGACAGAUUUCAUCAUUGCCUACAUUUGUCUUCAGACGACCUGCAGUACAAACUUGGCUUAAACCUGCAGUUGACAAUGGAUUCACCGUGGGAGAAUAAAUUACAAUGGAUAAAAAACAGCAUUACAAUCCCUCAAUAAAAUGGGAUUUUAACAGACAAAGCUCCUGGUAUGUGGUCGUUCUCAGGCCCAAAGGCCCAUUUUGCUUUUGGCUGCAACUCUGUAACUCUGUAACAGAGACCAAGUGCCUGCAGGGAGCAGAUGUUUGGGGCAGUAUCUGCUAAGGUGGCUUUGCUGAAACUUGUUUCUCUCAUUGGGUCUUGGAAGUGGCGAAUAGGACGUUCCUAUAGAAAAACUCAGAAAGAGACUGUGAAAGAUAAUCUUAAAGAGGCACUCACGAAACACAAGCUCCUUCUCCGGGAAAAAGAAUCAUCACCCUUGUUAUCCCAUGAAAAUUCAUCUUCUCCUUUUCAGCUGAUAUGAGGACUUGAUCUGUCCUUUCCUAUAAGUGCCAUCUGUGUUUAAAUGAGGCUGUUACUCUAACUCAAAGCAGACUUGCAAGAGUAAAAUAAUCAAUCUUCAUCAUAUUGCUGCACUUUCGACAGUUAAUUUUCUAGAGUAAUUUGUCAUUGUGAGGAGCAUAAGAUUUGUCUGAAUUUGUGUCAAAGGUUAUUGACUGAAUUGCCACCUCAUCUUUUCAGUCAAUCUAUAAAUAUGGGCAAGUUUGGGCAGAGGCUAAUGGCCUUCUCACUAAGGGGAUGAGAUUGUCCAAGUUAGGCAACUGAUAAGAGGUAGAAAUAUCUAUUGUGUCACCCAUUUCUUGUGGUAGCAUUGACUUAGAGUUAAUCUCAGAAACUUCACUUAACCUUCUUAAUCCUUUUCUUCCUGUAAAACAAGGCUAAAAAUUGUCAUAACUAUAUUCUAGUUUCCACAAAAGCUAAUCUAAGUAUUAAAAUUUUUAUUGUGACUUUGUGAGAGUGAUCCUGUAUUUUUCACAAAACUAAGAAGAAAAUAUUUUUAUUUAGUGUUUUUCUAUGAAUAGCUUUUGGUUUUUGGAAAAACCAUCUGAUCUUUAUUACUAAGAUUCUUGCUUCUUAGGUCAAAUUCUUGUUCCCUGUCUUUAUAUAGAGUCUAAUAUUGGGAACAUACCCAAGGACCACAUGGAUAAUUUUAUGAUGCUUGCUGACUAUUAUGUUUCUUGCCCACUUUAAUAGCCUAAUAAUAAUAGUUACGAAUUCUUAUUGAGAAAUAGCCAUUCUUAAUCAAUGCCAAUGACAGUGUUUCCUCUUUCAGACUGAAGGAAAAACAGGGAGAAAACCAGUUCAUAUAUUAUGGUUAAACACUGAUAAAACAUUUUGGUUAAAUAUCUGCCUUCAUGGGUUAUUGCAAAAUAGAUUAGUUUAAAGCUCAUCUAGCCCUGAAAUAUACAGUUAGAUUAUUUUUUAUGGAUUUCAAUUAUUUUUAUUUCAUUACAGUUAUUUUUUUUUCAAUACAUGGCCUGUUUGAAGAUACAUCAUAGUAAUGGUAACAGCAGCAACCACUGCAGUAAAUAACUGACAAUUGCUGAACAAUUCAUGUCUGCCAUGCCAUGCUAUGAGGGCCUUAAGGAAUAAAUACAACUUAUAUUCAUAAUAAACAUAGGAGGUUGUAGAAGGCUAAAUAAUGGGUCACCAAAGAUACCCACAUCCCAUAAUUCCUGUAACUGGUGACUAUGUUACCUUGCAUGGUAGAAGGGAUUUUGCAGUUGAGGUUAAGGUUAAAGACUUUAUAAAGGCAGAUUAUCUUGGAUUAUCUGGGUGGGUCUUUAAAAGCGGAAGAGAAAAGCAGAAAAGCAAGUCAGACAGACAGAUGCAACUACAGAAGAGACAGUAGGGACUCAACUCAAAUGACUAACUUUGAAGAUGGAGGAGGUGGUCCAUGAGGCAAGGAAUGCACUUGCUUCUAGAAGCUGGGAAUAACCCACAGCUAGAAGCAAAGUAGGAAAUGGAAGUCUCAAUUCUACAUCGUAAGGAAGUGAAUUCUGCCAAUAACUUGAAAGAGAAGGAAAUAGAUUCCCUCCAGAGGCUCUAGAAAAUAAUGUAUCCCUGCUGACACCUUAAUUUGAUUUGAGCCCCAUGAGACCCACGUUGGACUUCUGACUUAUGGAGCUUGUAAGAUAAUAAAUUUGCAUUGUUUCAGCCACUACAUUUGUGGAAAUUUGUUACAACCACAAUAGGAAACUCAUAGAAUAGUAAUCACUAGUAAUAUCUUCAUUUAACAGUUGAGGAAAUUGAGGCAGGACAACACAAGUUAUAAAAAUUAUCUCAGUUCUUAGUAGAGUUCCUGGCAUAUGACAAGCAGUUAAUGUCUUUGUAGAAUGAAUGAAUGAAUAAAUAAAUAGAUUUUUUCUUAUGCUUUCCCAAA